rnacentral:rRNA from 1 species
GCAUAACGCGAAGAACCUUACCUAGACUUGACAUCCCUGAAUUACCUGUAAUGAGGGAAGUCCCUUCGGAGACAGGGAGACAGGUGGUGCAUGGUUGUCGUCAGCUCGUGUCGUGAGAUGUUGGGUUAAGUCCCGCAACGAGCGCAACCCUUGUGAUUAGUUGCUAACAGGUAGAGCUGAGCACUCUAAUGGGACUGCCCGUGACAAGCGGGAGGAAGGUGGGGAUGACGUCAAAUCAUCAUGCCCCUUAUGUCUAGGGCCACACACGUGCUACAAUGGUGAGUACAACGAGAUGCGAACCCGCGAGGGGGAGCUAAACUCAAAAACUCAUCUCAGUUCGGAUUGCAGGCUGCAACUCGCCUGCAUGAAGCUGGAGUUGCUAGUAAUCGCGAAUCAGAAUGUCGCGGUGAAUACGUUCCCGGGUCUUGUACACACCG